AAAGAAUGCGAAUAUUUAUAUGCUAAUGUCUUUUACUUGAUUAAUUUUUAAUAUAUUAAGGAUGAUGUUAUAAUUUGGUGGUUGCAUAAAGUACCAGGUUCGAAUCUCAAUAAUUCUACAGUGCUAGCGCCCCGAACUGGCAGCGAAAAGUUCAUAUAUAUCAAACAAGUGGUUUGCCAGUUACUGACAGUGCACUUACAAGACAACUCUUAAAUCAAAUUUUCAUAGGACGCAACAUAAUAAAAGCUCCCCCAAUCAUGGUGUGCGGGGCAUGUGAGUUGAUAAGUUUCCUGGUAUAACGUUCUCAGAAUUUACACACCCCCCCCCCCCCCAUCCGCUCCCCCGCCGCCGACGCCCCCGCCCCCCCCCUCCCCCCCCCGCCCUCCCGCCCCCCCCCCCCCCCCCCCUCUCCCCCCCCACCCCCCCGCCCCCGCGCCCCCCCCCCCCCGCCUCCCCCCCAGCCCCCCCCCCACCAAGCUCUCCCUACCCACCCGCCGACCCUCCGCCCCUCCCCCGCCCCUCCGAUCCCCCUCCACCUGCCCCUAUACACGAUGCCCACCACCGAUCGGGGCCCGUUCCAUUACGACCCCCUCCGGCAGCUUACGGGAAACCAAAGUCUUUGGGUUCCGGGGGAAGUAUGGUUGCAAAGCUGAAACUUAAAGGAAUUGACGGAAGGGCACCACCAGGAGUGGAGCCUGCGGCUUAAUUUGACUCAACACGGGAAAUCUCACCCGGCCCGGACACAGUGAGGAUUGACAGAUUGAGAGCUCUUUCUUGAUUCUGUGGGUGGUGGUGCAUGGCCGUUCUUAGUUGGUGGAGCGAUUUGUCUGGUUAAUUCCGAUAACGAACGAGACUCUGGCUUGCUAAAUAGUUACGCGACCAUCCCGGUCGGCGUUUAACUUCUUAGAGGGACAAGUGGCGUUUAGCCACACGAGAUUGAGCAAUAACAGGUCUGUGAUGCCCUUAGAUGUUCGGGGCCGCACGCGCGCUACACUGACCGGAUCAGCGUGUGCUCUCCUUGGCCGACAGGUCCGGGAAACCCGUUGAACCCCGGUCGUGCUAGGGAUAGGGAAUUGCAAUUAUUUCCCUUGAACGAGGAAUUCCCAGUAAGCGCGAGUCAUUAGCUCGCGUUGAUUACGUC
rnacentral:ncRNA from 1 species